CCUACGGGCGGCAGCAGUGAGGAAUAUUGGUCAAUGGGCGAGAGCCUGAACCAGCCAAGUCGCGUGAAGGAUGACUGCCCUACGGGUUGUAAACUUCUUUUAUCAAGGAAUAAAGUGAGGCCCGUGUGCCUUUUUGUAGGUACUUUAUGAAUAAGGACCGGCUAACUCCGUGCCAGCAGCCGCGGUAAUACGGAGGAUCCGAGCGUUAUCCGGAUUUAUUGGGUUUAAAGGGAGCGUAGAUGGGUUGUUAAGUCAGUUGUGAAAGUUUGCGGCUCAACCGUAAAAUUGCAUUUGAUACUGGCGGUCUUGAGUGCGCGUGAGGUAGGCGGAAUGCGUGGUGUAGCGGUGAAAUGCUUAGAUAUCACGCAGAACUCCGAUUGCGAAGGCAGCAUAC
rnacentral:rRNA from 1 species